UACGUAGGCAGCGAGCGUUGUUCGGAAUUACUGGGCGUAAAGAGUGUGUAGGUGGUGUCGUAAGUUUGGUGUGAAAUCUCCCGCUUAACUGGGAGGGUGCGCCGAAGACUGCGAUGCUGGAGUAUGGGAGAGGAAAGCGGAAUUCCUGGUGUAGCGGUGAAAUGCGUAGAUAUCGGGAGGAAUACCGAUGGCGAAGGCAGGUCUCUGGGCUGACACUGACGCUCAUGCACGAAAGCGUGGGGAGCAAACAGG
rnacentral:rRNA from 1 species